rnacentral:rRNA from 1 species
GGACUUUAUUUGCGCAGCAUAGGUGGGAGGCAUUGAGUUUAUUCUUGCGGGAAUUUAGGAGCCAUCAGUGAGAUACCACUCUGGUAAUGUUAGAUUUCUAACUUUGUAUCAUGAUCUGGUCAAAGAACAGUUUCAGGCGGGCAGUUUGACUGGGGCGGUCGCCUCCCAAAUGGUAACGGAGGCGUACAAAGGUUUCCUCUGAACGUGUAGAAACCGUAUCUAGAGUGUAAAGGCAUAAGGAAGCUUGACUGUGAGACCUACAAGUCGAGCAGGGACGAAAGUCGGUCUUAGUGAUCUGACGGCGCUGAGUGGAAAGGCCGUCACUCAACGGAUAAAAGUUACUCUAGGGAUAACAGGCUGAA